GUGAAGUAGGUUCCAGCUGCGGCGGGAAGACGUAGGGUGCUAGCGUUGGUCGGAAGCAGUGGGGGUAAAGCGCGUGUAGGCUGUUAGUUAAGGUGGGUGUGAAAUCCCUGGGCGCAACCGAGGAAGUGCAUCCGAAACUAAUUAGCUAGAAGGUGGUAGAGGAAGGUUGAAUUCCUAGUGUAGAGGUGAAAUUCGUAGAUAUUAGGAGGAAUACCGGUGGCGAAGGCGGCCUUCUGGACCAUUCUUGACGCUGAGACGCGAAAGCGUGGGGAGCAAACAGGAUUAGAUACCCCUGUAGUC
rnacentral:rRNA from 1 species